UCUUCCGUAGUAUAGUGGUCAGUAUGCAAGCUUGUCACGCUUGAGACCCGGGUUCAAUUCCCGGCGG
rnacentral:tRNA from 1 species